UCCUUGGCAGUCUAAUGGUUAGGACUGGGCACUUUCACUGCCAGGGCCCAGGUUCAAUCCCUGGUCCAGGAA
rnacentral:tRNA from 1 species